rnacentral:rRNA from 1 species
GAUGAACGCUGGCGGCGUGCCUAAUACAUGCAAGUCGAGCGAACGGACGAGAAGCUUGCUUCUCUGAUGUUAGCGGCGGACGGGUGAGUAACACGUGGAUAACCUACCUAUAAGACUGGGAUAACUUCGGGAACCGGAGCUAAUUCCGGAUAAUUUUUUUAACCCCCAGGGUUAAAAAUAAAAGGAGGUCUUGCUGUUCCCUAUAGAUGGAUCCGCGCUGCAUUAGCUAGUUGGUAAGGUAACGGCUUACCAAGGCAACGAUGCAUAGCCGACCUGAGAGGGUGAUCGGCCACACUGGAACUGAGACACGGUCCAGACUCCUACGGGAGGCAGCAGUAGGGAAUCUUCCGCAAUGGGCGAAAGCCUGACGGAGCAACGCCGCGUGAGUGAUGAAGGUCUUCGGAUCGUAAAACUCUGUUAUUAGGGAAGAACAUAUGUGUAAGUAACUGUGCACAUCUUGACGGUACCUAAUCAGAAAGCCACGGCUAACUACGUG